UACGGAGGGCGCGAGCGUUAAUCGGAAUUACUGGGCGUAAAGCGCGCGUAGGCUGUUGUGUAAGUUGGGGGUGAAAUCCCACGGCUCAACCGUGGAACAGCCCUUGAUACUGCGCGACUUGAAUCCGGGAGAGGGUGGCGGAAUUCCAGGUGUAGGAGUGAAAUCCGUAGAUAUCUGGAGGAACAUCAGUGGCGAAGGCGGCCACCUGGACCGGUAUUGACGCUGAGGCGCGAAAGCGUGGGGUGCAAACAGG
rnacentral:rRNA from 1 species